ACUUCUUCACGGUUGUUUACAUUCGCCGCCAUUGUUUGUGGUAGUCUGUGAGAAUGAAAUUUUUAACUUCAAAGCUUCGUCUGCUGGCUUUAGAAGCUUAUCUACCAGGAAGGAUUGGAAGGUAUUUUGAGAUUGACAGCUGGACUCUGCAAAUGGAAAAUGAUACACGGUGGUAGAAAACUGAGAGCUUUAAGUUCGAUCCGUACAGAAAACAGAACAACUGGUUUGGAAAUGCUAUCGAUGUGCUUAAAAUUUGUCGGGGAAGGAAAUUUUUAACUUCAAAGCUUCGUCUGCUGGCUUUAGAAGCUUAUCUACCAGGAAGGAUUGGAAGGUAUUUUGAGAUUGACUGCUGGGUUCGGCAAAUGGAAAAUGAUACACAGUGGUAGUUCGAUCCGUACAGAAAACAGAACAACUGGUUUGGAAAUGCUACCAGUGCAUUUAAAAUUUGUUGGAGAUAAAAGUUCUCUUUUUGGUUGCUGUGAAGAAGUUUGAAAAAAGGUGCAUUCCUUUGUAAUUCAUCUAUACUGUGUGUUUACAUUAUUAACUUGCUGAUCAUUAUGAAAAUCUUUCAAUAAAGCAUUUAAAGAUACCCGGGUUUAUUGCUCUGAAAUAUAGUUGCACAUAAACGAAAAAUUGCAAUUGAAGGAAAACAAAACUUCAAACUGCAUGAAAUGACUGUAAAGUUUUGUAACUUUUUUUAUUUAAAAAUAAUAAUUAAAAUGAUAACCAACUGUUGCUUUUUGGAAUAAAAAUUAUUUUAUUUAAUGACAAAUUUGUGUCCUUAAACUGUAUUUUACUAAAGGAUUAUC